GUGAGUAGUUCAGAGUUUGAUCCUGGCUCAGGACGAACGCUGGCGGCGUGCUUAACACAUGCAAGUCGAGCGGAGACAAUUAGCGGAAGUUUUCGGAUGGAAGCUAAUGUUUUAGCGGCGGACGGGUGAGUAACGCGUGAGCAACCUUCCUUCACUGGGGAAUAACACAGGGAAACUUGUACUAAUACCGCAUGAGACCACACCGGGGCAUCCUGGAGGGGUCAAAGAUUUAUUGGUGAAGGGUGGGCUCGCGUCCGAUUAGGUAGUUGGUGAGGUAACGGCCCACCAAGCCGACGAUCGGUAGCCGACCUGAGAGGGUGAUCGGCCACAUUGGGACUGAGACACGGCCCAA
rnacentral:rRNA from 1 species